rnacentral:sRNA from 1 species
UACCGCACUGGUCGAGCAGCUUUGCUCGAGU